CGACUGCCUUCUGUGCCAUGGAUCACUUCCUUGUUGAGUGGGACCUGAGUUUUGAGAGGGUCUUGUGGUCCUCUUCAUCUGGUCCCUUUCCUUCCAAGGCCCAAGAGAGGAAGGCAUGGGGUGGGCCCUAGCCCUGCUUCUAGCUUUCCUGCCUCCUGCCAAUCAGAUAUCUUCCAACUUGGAAGGGAGAAUGAAGUCAGUCACUGGGACAACAGGGUCAUCUGCUGUAAUCACCUGUGAUCUUCCUGGAGAAAAUACCAGACACAUCCACUGGUACCUCCACCAGGAGGGGAAGGCCCCACAGCGUCUUCUGUACUGUGACACCUACAACGCCAGGGUUAUGUUGGAUUCAGGAAUCAGUCCAGGGAAGUUGGAUAGCUAUGCAAUCAUGAGGAGCUCGAAAUUGAUAGUGCAAAAUGUAACUGAAAAUGAAUCUGGAUUUUACUAUUGUACCACCUGGGACAGGCACAGUGGUUCAGACCUGCCUACACCACACUGAAAUCUGCCUUGUGGCUGCUUGUGGUACACACGAUAGAGCUGCCCCCUCUCAUUU